UCGGGAAUUUUGGGCAAUGGGCGAAAGCCUGACCCAGCAACGCCGCGUGAAGGAUGAAGUUUUUCGGAAUGUAAACUUCGUAAGAAUAGGAAGAAUAAAUGACGGUACUAUUUGUAAGGUCCGGCUAACUACGUGCCAGCAGCCGCGGUAAUACGUAGGGACCAAGCGUUGUUCGGAUUUACUGGGCGUAAAGGGCGCGUAGGCGGCAAUUCAAGUCAGCUGUGAAAUCUCCGGGCUUAACUCGGAACGGUCAGCUGAUACUGCUUUGCUAGAGUGCAGAAGGGGCAAUCGGAAUUCUUGGUGUAGCGGUGAAAUGCGUAGAUAUCAAGAGGAACACCUGAGGUGAAGACGGGUUGCUGGGCUGACACUGACGCUGAGGCGCGAAAGCUAGGGUAGCAA
rnacentral:rRNA from 1 species